UAGGGAAUCUUCCACAAUGGGCGCAAGCCUGAUGGAGCAACGCCGCGUGUGUGNUGAAGGCUUUCGGGUCGUAAAGCACUGUUGUAUGGGAAGAAAUGCUAGAAUAGGGAAUGACUCUAGUUCGACGGUACCAUACCAGAAAGGGACGGCUAAAUACGUGCCAG
rnacentral:rRNA from 1 species